UACAUCCGGGUCACAGUUCACAGCGGCAUCUCUUCCGCCGACACGCGACGAGGAGGACACAUUGCAACCUGAGAAAGGCAAACAAAGGAGUCGGCGCUGGAGUGAAACAAAGACGAGAAGUAAACAUCCGUACAGCGCAGUCAAAAUGGUCCAACUUGUCCUUCCGUCCUUCCUGGAUGACGUCACAUACAAGUUGAGUCCAUGAUGUCACUGCCACUUCUUAAUUUCCUGUAGCCAUCUUUAGUUCUGUAUAAAUACAUUUGUACUGUU